rnacentral:tRNA from 1 species
GGGGUUGUGGCUUAGUGGUAGAGCACUUGCCUAGCACAUAUGAGACACUGGGUUCAAUCCUCAGCAUCACCU